rnacentral:lncRNA from 10 species
AAAAAGCAGGCAGAAGAAGGUGGAAGAGCUAACUUGCUGAGUCUUCCGGCAUUCGUCUUUCUUCCCUGCUGGAUGCUUCCUACCCGCGAACAUCAGACUCCAAGUUCUUCGGCCUUUGGACUCUCUUUUUUUGUUUUUUAAGAGACGGAGUCUAGCUCUGUCGCCCAAGCUGGAGUGCAGUGGCGUAAUCUCGGCUCACUGCACCUUCCGCCUCCUGGGUUAAAGCGAUUCUCCUGCCUCAGCCUCCCUAGUAGCUGGGACUACAGGCGCGCGCCGUCACGCCCGGCUAAUUUUUUGUAUUUUAGUAGAGACGGGGUUUCACCGUGUUGUCCAGCCUGGUCUCAAACUCCUGAGCUCAGGCAAUCCACCUGCCUCGGCCUCCUAAAAUGCUAGGAUAACAGGCGUGCGCCUCCGCGCCCGGCCUGCCUUUGGACUCUUGAACUUAGACCAGUUGUUUGCUGGGGCUCUUGGGCCUUUGGCCACAGACUGAAGGCUGCACUGUUGGCUUCCCUACUUUUGAGGUUUUGGGACUUGGACUGAACCAGUACUGGCUUCGUUGCUCCUCAACUUGCAGAUGGACUCUCAUGGGACUUCAUCUUGUGAUCGGGAAGGGGGCAUGAUCGAAUCUUCUGCUUUCCUUUUGAGCAUUUUCUCUGUGAGCCAAACUGACUGUUAUCCCUGCCACCAGGUAUAUUAAUGCUGUAAGGAAUUGUGCAGGAGGUCAAAAACCUGGAGGAUGCCUUACUUGGCCUGAUGUCAAGUCAUGUGACAGCAAGGGGGCAAGAGUAGAAGCUGUAGGUCUCUUGAGACCUAGGUUCAAUAUUCGCACUCCAUCACAUCCAUCUCAUUCUACUACAGCAGUCAAAGCAUGUCAUAAGGUCAACUUGGAAUAAAAAAUUUGGAGAAAUAGACAUUACCUAUGGAUGGCAGAGCUGCAAGUCCAUAUUGAAAAGGGGGCAUGCCUACAGGAAUAUGAAAAAUUUGUGGUGAUAUUUUGCACAAGACACAUCUCUAACUGUAC